rnacentral:misc_RNA from 1 species
CUCCGCCCCCGCCUCCGCCUCUGCCGUUUGGCGCGGGAGGGCAGAAGGCGAGCAGCGCAGCAGGCGAACGAACGAUACAGGGGAAGCUCCGUCCGCGCUUCCAUCCCCACGUCAUCUCUCUCGCUCCAUUCUGAGAAUCAGGUGGGUGCCCGGUGGCACUCAGCAUACGCGGUGGGGCAGCACCAAUACACGGAACCGAAGGAACAAGAAAAUAAGCUUGCACCUUGUAGGGAGGACUGCAAGCUACUAGGCCACUGCUUGGAAGAGGACGAGGAGGGCGAGAGGAGGAAACCGAGCGCCCACCUUUGUACAGCCUAGCGGGCUACCACACUCUCUCCCUCUCGUCGGUGUGCGGUUGCCUUUUUUUUCCGUCGUUAUCACACGUCUUGCUUUGGGCUCUUUUGUUUUUCCUUCCUUUCUUCGCCGUGAUCAUUUAGGACACCUCAGUGCGUGGUAUCUCGGUGCUCAGUACACCCCUACUCGCUCUGUCGGCGCGGGGGAGGGAGUGGGGGCGGGGAAGCCAAGCAGCCCUCCCUUCCUGUGCCUGCGAAAUGCCGAGCCCACCGCUGGUGAUGACAGGGUGAAGCGCCUGCCGCCUAGGCAGGUGGGUGCGACGUAUCACUGCGGAUGUCGGUGGUCAGGUCCUGGACGGGGAUGCGUCGGAGCGACCGGCGACAGAGAGCACGCUUGCGCCACCCAUGCGAUGGGCCGAGGUGCCAGCAUGGCUCGAGUGCAUCUCACGCGCCCCUCGCACUGCCUACUGGUUGGGGCAGCCUGGGCGUCACGCCGAGGUGUAGGGACGAGGGGGGGGUGGUUGUGGUGGUGCACCCGGGGUGGCGACUGGCAUGAUGGG